CUCAAGGCCCUUCAUAAUAUCCCCCAGUUUAGUAGUUGGACUUAGGGAACAAAGGAACCUUUAAUAGAAAUUGGACAGCAAGAAAGCGAGCUUAGUGAUACUUGUUGUCCAGGUGAGCCAGGCCAUCACUAAAGGCACCUAGCACCUUCUUGCCAUGAGCCUUCACCUUAGGGUUGCCCAUAACAGCAUCAGGAGAGGACAGAUCCCCAAAGGACUCAAAGAACCUCUGGGUCCAUGGGUAGACAACCAGGAGACUG
rnacentral:lncRNA from 1 species